GUGGCCGAGAUGGAAAAGAAUGGCUUUGAUCUUUAAUCUGAAUUUCAAUUAAUUAAUUUCUAUAAGGAUGAGUGAUGAUUCGGUGUUCAUUUGUGUUGCAUCCAUAUUCAUAUUGGAGCCCUGAUUAAAUUGAAUAUUCAGAAUAUUAGAAACAAAAAAAUAAGGAUGUAACAAGCUUAAAUCACUGAAAGUGGGCAAAGGCUCCUAACCCAAAUAAGAAACCAGACAACCUAAAGAAAUGGCUAGUGGGUAUCAAUCACAUUUUUCUGCAUCAGCAAAAUCAUUGUCCAAGGAUUGCAAAAGUACAAAUGUAACAUCAAAGAUAACCCUGGAACUAUUGGCUAAUAGAUAAAAUAUGACAGAGCAUCUUGAAAGAGAGAAAGGAAGCAGCCAGAUUUUGUGGGGACGUAAGGUAAGAGUUUGCAACUUGCAUUAGAAAUUCCUCAUACUUUCUCAAAAGGCAGGAGAUUUUCAUUUUUGCUAUACCACAUAGUGAAUUUUUAACAGCAGAUUGAUUUUUGCUGGUUGUUCUUCCAGGGACGACUGCACCUGGAUUUGGGCAGAGUACUCCAAGUGGCAACUUUUCCUUUGGGACCACUGGUGCUCCAGCAACAAACUUUGGGAGUCCAGGAGCAGGUGCAGCAGCAGCAUCGGCAUUUGCAGCAACACCCACCUUUUCUAUAGGAGCUGGAUCUCGACCUACUGGAACCAGACAGAGAUUGCAGGCUAGACGUCAGCACGUACGAAAGAGAUAGACAUUGGGAAUUUGAAUGGCGCAAAUGAACAUUGUGUUGACUAUUCUGGAAACCAUUACCACUUUUUACUUUUGUACCCUAAACAACGCCGGUCGUGGACGUGCAGGCAACUGACUUCAAAUGCUGAGAAUAUAUACUUGAGAAAAAUAGUUUAAAUUUAGUUUUUCUUUUCCACCUCUGGGCUUGAACUGUUAACAAAGGCUUGCAGCUGCUGAAAAAUAUUUUUCUGCAACAGUGCAGGAAACCUUGUUGGACUGCAGUGUGAAGUCUUCAUCGUCUUAAGUUCAUACACCCUUUAUUAAACUGACCACUGCAGAAUAGUGAUCUUUGUUUGGUUGAGGGUACAGCAGUAAUGGGUGACUCAGUAAGCAACAGACAUAGCUUUACUUGAAAUAUUCUACUUUAAAGGUCGUAAAAUGCAAUUUGCAGGCCUUUCUGGACUGACCCUUUUCUUUUGUACAAAUUGCUGCACUUGAAAACAUUUUUUUAAAUUACAUUUCUUAAGGGCACAAUUCCCAGUAAUAUCACCACUUACUGUGGUGCCUUCUGUCCAAAGGCAAAAACUGAACUGGAGGCUAAUGGUAAUUUUUUUUUUGUCUUCCUUCUCAUUUGUUUUGAAAUCUUCAUUAAUUUUGGUUUAUGCCUGAGAAGAAUUCUAAACCUGACUGAAACUUGGGAAAAGAAAAUGUUGUGCCUGUUGAGUCACUUCUCAAAUAUUUUGCUUUGCUGCCUGACUCUGUCCUUUUUAUUUUUCCUUCUGUGAAUAGCUUCCUUUUUAAAUCUGUUGUUUAGUUAGGUAAAAGAAACCAAUCCAAAUUGCUCUUCCCUCCUGUGCUUCUCCUCUUUCCCCUCUCCACAUGUCAGACUUUUUUUAUAUACAGUAAUGUUAUCAGUGUUUGCUCGUCUAUCUCACUUUGUUGCUCAGUGAAUCGAGUUUGGAGGAAAAAUUUCAGUAUGUGUGGCGGCAUGUUAGUAAUGCCGGACCUGACUGGUUCAUUGGAUAUAUGUGAAUCUGACUCUUGCUAAUCUGAUGCGAUAGUGUUUUGCUACUAUAACUGCGUGACACAUUAAGCAGUGUUCUAUGGAGAAAUGGCAGUCAUGGCUAGUUUUGGAGGAGGUUCCGAUUACACAGUAUAGGAUUCUCAAUGACAGAUUUUAAAAAUCUGGUGCUAUAAUGUUAAGAAACACAAAUUAUUCAAGCUUAUACCAAAACUUCGGUUGGCAAUGUUAAGAAUUGUACAUGUAUGCAUAUAUACUGUGUAUAUUUUAACUGAGACUAGGUACUUGCAUCUUAUUUUGGGUGCACCUUGCAAAUGUACCUGUUUUAAUUUUCUUUAUUAAAAACAAACUGAUUUUUCAAAAGUUUUUUUUUAGAAAGUAAAGUGGUUCAUCAAAACUUUUUGAAUAAUCUUGACUUUAAUCUCUGCAGAUUUUAUUAAAGGAGUAGCUAUACUGGGUGCACAGUCAUGUUGCGUAGUGCGUUUUUUUUUAUAACUGGUGGGAUACAGAUCACGUAUUAUGCAAACCUCCUGUUUCCUGUUGUCACAAAUCUGGUAUGAGCAGAGUCUUGAAGUUGGCCAUCAUCAGUCCCCUGGUAGUGAUGUUGUUUAUGGCAGGUUUUGAGGUCUGAUCUAUUUUUGUUUUGGAUGUUUUAGUCAUACAUUUUUAAUAAAAUCUUGUGACACACAUUGAACUGAGCUUCUCAGGAACCAAAAUAGUGGGGGCAACAUGACAACUUCAGUUUUCGAGGCCAGUUUUAAAGUCUCAGGGUGGACUAGCAUUCAAAUAAUUCUGCUGUUUUUGCCCAGUAGUCUGUAUAGGAGUGCCUCUUGAGAUACAUGUUGAAUUUGUAGCGUGGGUUACCAUGGUGAGAUCUGUCCUUUCCUUUGAGUUCAUGGAUGAAAAUUGGGUAAAGUGUUGGAGGCAAAUGAGAGGAGACGGCAGCCCACAUAAGUUGGUCUGAAUAUUUUUAAAUGGAGAAACAACUAUUCUCCUUGCAUUCUUUGUGAAAUCACUUGUCAGUUUUCUAAUUGUUCCUCACAAACUCUUUCCUCCUUGUGGUGACAGAAGUGGAUUUUCCAAAACAUCCUUUGUGUUUCUUUUACCCUGGGAGAAAAUGCUCCUCUGAUCCCUGUUGCCCACUUCCCCAUACACGCACAUCCCUCCUAGAUGUUUUGUACUUUGCUGGCUACAUUUAAUUAACAAUUUCCUUAAUGGUUUCCCACAUGAUAUCUAGCCAAAAUUAACAAGGCUUUGCAUUGUCUUUCCCUUCAAACCACAAAAUAUCAGCAUGCAAUGCUGUCUGACCUGCCAUUGAUCAAUUUGGAAAUGAGCUACCUCCCCAUCACUAUGGCUUAAAUCUGACUGGCUUAGAGAAGUGUAAAUAACUUAAAAUCAAGAGUGGAAAUUAAAUCCAAGAGAGCUUUUAAGAGGGAAGACAAAAGUUUAAGUAAUAGAUGGGGUGGGGCAUGUAGCAGAUACUUAAAACUGAGAGUGACCACUUUUACAACAUCCAAUCACUGAUUGCAUGCAUUGUUCUGUAGAGGCACUGCAAUCAAACAGUUUAUGAGCCAUUUUCAGAGAAUAUUUGUACUGUUUCUAUUGGAAAUUUUUAAGACAAUUCUGGCUGGUCCAAGCGGCUAGACAGGUUGAAGGUCCCUCCUCAUCCCAUUAAACGACUGCCAUUUUGUGACGUCUGAGUAUGAAUGUGUGCGGGUGAUUGGCAACUUCUAAAUUUAGAUAAAAUUUAAAAAAAAAACAAUAAAUUUUAUUUUUAUAUGUAAGUAAAACUUAACGUUCCUUCAAGCUUGGUUCAUUGAGACUUAAUGCUACACUGGUUAAAUAGUAUACUUCUGGUAAACAAUUGUAUGUACAAACUGGUUUUUAAACAUGGAAUAUGAAGUUGGUGUGAGUAAGUUUGGAAGAUCUAAUGGUGAGUGAAAAAAGACAGUUGGGAUGCUAUGAUUCUUGCUGAAUGUUACACAUAGGUUAGUAUACUCAUGCCUGUAUUUGGGCCAAAAUCAUACCGGAUAAAAUUUGGGUGUCAUUUAAAGGUUUUGUUUUUAAACAUUUAUUUUGAUUCAUCAGUUGAUCAAGGUUCAUUGAGUUGACAGCAAGCAAUGGAGUCAAAAAGUAGAUCCGAUUCAUUUCUUGGUCCAUGCUGUUAGUAGAACAUGGGUAGCUACAAAGACCAUGCAUGUUGCUUCCACAUUCCCUCCUCUCUCUCCUGCCCCUUUCUUCACCUCUCCCCAAAAAAAAAUCUUAUGGAAGGGAUAAAUACUUGCCAUUGUUGCUGUUUCUCCCGGUUUUGUUCACUGGAAUGUGGCUUUGGAUGUGAAUAACAGAGAUCUUUUCUGUUCUGAUCUUUUCUGCAGUAAUUUAGCCAAGAAGCAGUUACUGCUGAGGUUUUUGUUUUAAAAAGGUUGUUAGGGAGCAUUUUAAGACAUUUUAUUUGAUUUCUACAGCACCCAUUGAUUAUUAAAGGGUGGUUGGAAGUGAAAGCUUAGCACAAUGCUGUUCAUGUCAACAGCUAGUAUUGAAUAUUUAUCAAUUAGAUAGAACAUAAAAGCUGUGAUUAUUGAUAUGCAGUAAGGUGUUGCAUAAUUGAACAUCAAAAUUAGGUUUGAAACAAACAUCCAAUCUGAACAAAUUGAGAUUGCUACCCCUGCAGGGGGGCGCAUAAAGCUUAUAGAAGGAGAGAUUUUUCGAGAAUGGAAACAUAUUUUAAGUAAUUUGCUCCAUUGUGUACACCACACUCCUCAUCUCUCUGAGCACUUUAGUGAUGUGAUCUUACUGUAAACGCAUAUAUCUCUCCUCCUUCCCAUGUAUUGAUUGAACUCACAUUGUCAACAGGAGCACAAACUCCAGAGGGACCUUUCCUAACUGCAAUUGACGUUGAGGCCAAUUAUUCUACUAUCAAAUCGGAGAUCAAUUUGCUUAGUAUGUGAUUCUGUGACCCAUCUAGCGUGCAGAGUUUAGAUCGCAUGACAGUGCACUUAGCACUAUUAUUGGGAAUUGAGGGAAGUUCCAACUUGGAAUCAGUACAACUUAAAUUGUCCUGUGCUUAAAUUCACAGUUUGAUAAGUGCUGAACCAUUCAAAGCAGCGAGGUCUCCGUAAUUCUGUGGCUCCCCUGGGGGAAUAUCAAUCAUAAAAUAAUUUGCAGUACCCACACACAAACUUGCUGAUGUUGGGGGUGAUAUGGAGUGUUGCACCUGCCAGUGUUCUUAGUGUCUGCACACCUCGUGAAACAAGGUUCAGCUGUGAUCAAUUUGAAAAGCUGGCUAACCCAGAAGCAUCGUGGUAUUGCAUCCUGCUGCCUCAUUGCUAUCAGGAGAAAAGAGAUUGGAGGAGGAAGUAAAUGGUUGACUUCUCCUUUUGAAUUUUCACUUAACCUGUGAUCAGUUUGAUUGCUGUAUUGCCGACCAACAAGUGCUGGAGUCCUGAUUCUAAUUCAUGCCUCUCUAGUUGUAUGCCCAUGUUGAGUUUGACAGAACUUUACAGGUAGUGUUAAUUUCAUGUUCAUAAAAGCCAUCGUUGUGUCACUAUGUGAGCAUGUCAUCCAGUCAAUGGUUGCACUGCCCCUACCCUUUGUUUGCAUCCAAGUUAAUUAUGAGUGGCUUUCAACUUAGGCAUCUUAUGAAAUUAGGAAUCUUGUUUCUACAUAAGACGCAUUGAACUGACAACUUUUUGUUUCAGUGGUUACAAGCAAGUUUUAUGUUUCAAAACUUGAGCUGUAAAUGCAGAAAACUGGAUGCGCAUUUCAUUUUUGGAUUAUUUUCUGAACUUAAUCUGUUUUCUCCCCUUUCUUAAUUCGAGCACAAUUCAUUAUCUUUCAGAAAGAAAAAUAGUCUGAAUGACUGACUGUCACACAUGAAUCAAUGUGGUGUUAUAAAUCAUCUCUUUGCCAUAAGAGGCAAUCACAUGUAAUGACAGGGUAUUGGCACUGCUGCACAAUUGAUAACACUGUACAGCAGUAGAGUGGGCUUGUGCUGUUGACCUUUCACUGCAUUAUUGAAGCAUCAAAUUGAGUCCCCUUUAUUUUAAUAGCUAAGAAUUUGAUCAAUACCAUAUUAUAGUUUUGCUGAGGGAAUAUUGCAUACGUUUACUAAAGCUACAGACACAUUUGCAUGACUUUUUUUUUACUUUCACACACCAUAAAUACUUUUUACUGUAAUUAUACACUGCUUUCAUUAUCUUUACUUAAUUCUUACAAUUCACCUUUCACUGUCCUUAUGUGGAUUAACACGCCAGUUCUUAAUCUACACUGAACUAGCAUUCAGCCUAGAGAUAGGAAUGGAAAUUCCUAAACUUCAAGCUGACAGAAAUCCAGCAGCACCAAAUAUCAGGCAAAUAGCAUUGCAAACAGAGCUGUAACAAGCGCCAUGUUCAAUAUCCCUGAUUUAAAUGAGUUAAUUAAACUUCAUAAAUUAAUAAUAUGGCUCCUUUUUAAAUGAGUGAGUUUUAAAUGAGUUAAAUUUCAUACACCAUUCCAGUAAUUGCUGAAUCAUACAUGUUGGUCGGCUAAAAUUUAUCAAUAUGGAAGCAAAACACUGCAUAUGUUGUCAAUCUGAAGCAAAAACAAAAAAGUUGAAAACUUCCAGGAUGUCUGCAGCAUCUGAGAGAGUGACGUUUCAGGAGUCAGUGACCCAGCCUUCUUUUGAAAUGUUAAUCAUAACUCCACAGCUGUUGCCAGACUUGCAUAUUUUUUAGAGCAUAACUGCAAGCCGUUACAGCUUAAGAGUCCACAAAUUAAGUUAAACUUACUUUCUCAUUAAUGCAUGAGUUACUCCCACUAACAGAUCUUUGGUUUUCUCAGUUACAGUGUAUUCAACAAUAAGAUAACAAAAUUAAGAACAGCGUUUUGGAAACUUCCAGGCCCAGAAAUUUCAACGCAGUGAAUCAGGAAUGCUAAUUGAGCUAAUUUAUGAAGGCUGUGCUGAACGUUGCUUUAUCAGGUGUAGUCCAAUUGGCAGGCAUUAUAUGCUCCAUCUCUGGCAAAUGAAAGCUCUGUCUGGAUUUCUCAGCUCAUUUUGCAAGACAGCAAAGGCCUUUACUAGAACAUAUUUAGGUGUAUAAACUUUAUUUGCCAGUCCGCAGCUAAUUAAGCCUCAUCUUUCCCAGAACCAGGACUCCGUAUCACAGGUAGCAGAUCACCUGAUUAGUCUAUGCUGAUCUUCCACACCCAAUGAGAACUUGCUAUAAAUUACUUCUCCAAGGUUGUUAGAUUUGUUACAGUGCACUUCAGCUGCUUAGUUAGCUGUGGUGUUCAUUCAAAUAUUAUGUUUGUUUGUUUUAAAAUGACUGAGGAAAUCUGAAAUUUGAUGGUUUGUUUGUUCCAGGGUAUAGAAAUACCAUUUUGCAAAAUAGCUUAAUGAGUGGUCACUGUAAUGUGCCCUAUUCUUAAGCUAUGCUCAAAAUAAAUUCCCAUCUUUUCAUUGCCAAUUUGUACUUAGUAAGUAAAUCUCAGAGGUGGCAGCAAUUUGGUGCACGAUCAUUGGACUCAUUAGCAUAGGUUUGUGUUUUGGGGAUUGGGUAAAGAAAGACAGUCGGAAUCCUUGUUUUGCUUUACACUAGAUCCAUACUCAAUCUCAAUUCAGCUAUCCUUGUCAGAAAGUGCAUGUAUUUUGAUGUCAGUUGUGAUAGCGAAUGUAGUGGAAUGCCCAAUUGACUUGCUGUUUAAGCUUGCCCACAUGGAACAGGUGCAGGACUGAAUUCCCCACUUGUUGAGAAAAAAAUUCCCUGUGUGGAUGUUGCUGCACAAUGUGUGAUGGUUUCUGCUUGGGCAUUUUCUUCCCUGGUCCUCAUUUGGGAAUAAGGAUUUUUUGUUUUCUCCAAAGGCAAAGAGAAUUGAGGUUGAGUUGAUUCUUGUCGUACCUCAACUGGGUAAAGGGAUGUAUGACCUUGAUAGAGACCUAAGGGCACUUUGUGCUGGGGUAUGUGGAAGCAAACAGUAAUAGUGUGGAAAUGAGUAUGUAGCUUUCAAUAUUUUGAUGAACUUCCUGUAUUAAGUUUUGGUUCUUUUCGAUGAUCAUGCCUUCCUUCCUUGAGACAUUCUUGAUCACAGGCUUUGUUCAGAACUGGCUGCUGCAUGAAAUGGCAAGGAGUUAAUUGUGUCGAGCCAUUAGGAGCAUUUCAUCUUCAAUUAAGAAGGGAAAAAUGGACUGACCAAGUGGCAAGACCAAUGGCUGUGGCAAUUUUCAUCUUUUCUUUUUAACAAUUGUUAUGACCUUUUCCUCCCAAUUAUUCUUUUUCUUAAAAAAAACUAUCUGGGAUAAUGCAGGCUUGGACAUGUCUUUUUUUUUUGUAAGAAUGCAUCAGUCUGUUUUUGGAUAAAUCAGCUUGUACACAACCUAGGAGUUACUGGUAAAUUCUCUUUCAAAGGUAGUGUGUGGAAAAAGGAUCAAGCUAGCAUUUUGAAACAUGUCUGAACCCAGUAAAUUUACAUCAUUAUCGAACAAUCCUGCCUUAAAAUUAGCAGUGCAUUUUUUUUUUGUAGGAACUAAUGUAACCCCAUCUUGCUGUGGUGCAAUUGUAAUCAGCUUUAUUGAAAUGCUUUGUUUGAAACAACUAAAACCAACUUUUUCUUCCGAGGACGUUUCAUAAAAGAAAAAUAGGCAGCUAUUGGGAUUCUAAAUAAUUAGCUGUUGUGUGAGAAUGCCACGGCAGAAUUUCAGUCCCUCUAUUUAGUACUAGACUAAACGCUACAAUUGUGUCCCAAAUCCCUGUUUCACCUGCCAUUCUGUCCUCAUCUGUGCCACGCUGUUGGAGAACUUUGGCAAAAGUGCUACGUUUUAUUGAGAAGGAAAAUCUGCAUGUUAAUAAUCACCUGUGUCCUGAACCAUCACAAUUAGACAAAAAAAAGUCAAAAAUAUAGAAUUCAGCUUACAUUUGGAAGACAGAGCGCCAAAGAACCAGCAAGUUAGUUUAAUUGCAGCAGUUUGCUAUUUUAAAUGACAUAUAUACCCUUUGAGAUUUAUGGUACUGAAUACCGUACCAUGAAAAUUGAUAUAGUAAUAUACUCACACAUUUCCAUCCAAACUCUGUAGUUGUUGAUUUGAUGAGUUGAGGUAUACUUCAUUUUGUAACUGUCUAUUGCAGAGAUCCAUUUAUGCCUAAAUUUUGAUGCUGUAGAACAUUUAAAAGUGUCUCAUUAAAUGCUUUAGGGUUCAUCAAUUCCCCUAAUUGUAGUAACCUAUGAGGUUUGUGUCUAGGUAUAGGAAAUGUCUUGUGCUCUCAAACAUACAAUUUUGACCCAGAAGAGGCAGUUACAGAGUAUAUGCCUGUGUACCUCUACUGAAUAUAUGUAGCAAGAAAUUAUAUUGAUCCCAACGGCAUGUAUGGUCCCUCUAUGACUCAGAAUGGUAACAAAAAUGUCUGAAUGAUGAGUGCUGAUGAGUAAAUUGUAGAAUGGGUGGAUGUGGAGAUUUGGUAGUAUGCUUUUUUAAAAAAAAAAAGUUGUAGACUUCUAUCAGUGCUGUCUAGCUUGAUAGAACUAGUGAAUGAAUGUGCAGAGGUAAAGCUGGCUGUGAAUGUGCAGAGAUCCGAUUUUUGCUUAUGUCAUUAAAUGGAAAUGGUUUUAAAUAAAAAGCUGUGAUUAUAAA